rnacentral:rRNA from 1 species
GGAAUCUUCGGCAAUGGGGGCAACCCUGACCGAGCAACGCCGCGUGAGUGAAGAAGGUUUUCGGAUCGUAAAUCUCUGUCGUUAGAGAAGAACGGUAAUGGGAGUGGAAAAUCCAUUACGUGACGGUAACUAACCAGAAAGGGACGGCUAACUACGUGCCAGCCGCCGCGGUAAUACGUAGGUCUCGAGCGUUGUCCGGAUUUAUUGGGCGUAAAGCGAGCGCAGGCGGUUAUUGAAGUCUGAAGUUAAAGGCCGUGGCUCAACCAUGGUGCGCUUUGGAAACUGGAUAACUUGAGUGCAGAAGGGGAGAGUGGAAUCCCAUGUGUAGCGGUGAAAUGCGUAGAUAUAUGGAGGAACACCGGUGGCGAAAGCGGCUCUCUGGUCUGUAACUGACGCUGAGGCUCGAAAGCGUGGGGAGC